rnacentral:rRNA from 1 species
GACGAACGCUGGCGGCGUGCCUAAUACAUGCAAGUCGAACGCAGUGGGGACGGGUGAGUAACACGUGGGUAACCUCCCAUCAGAGGGGAUAACACUUGGAAACAGGUGCUAAACCGAUAUUGAUGGAUGGACCCGCGGUGCAUUAGCUAGUUGGGGAGGUAACGGCUCACCAAGGCCACGAUGCAUAGCCGGCCUUGGGUGGGGAACGGGCACAACGGGACUGAGACCAGGGCCAGAAUCCUUCGGGGAGGAGCAGGUGGGAAGUAUCGGCAAAGGAGGAAAGUCUGAACGAGCAACGGCGCGUGAGUGAAGAAGGGUUUCGGGGCGUAAAACUCUGUUGGUUGGGAAGCGGUAUAUAACAAGAAAGCCACGGCUAACUACGGGCCAGCAGCCGCGGUAAUAC